rnacentral:rRNA from 1 species
UAAGUGGAGAGUUUGAUCCUGGCUCAGAACGAACGCUGGCGGCGUGCUUAACACAUGCAAGUCGAGCGAGAAAGGGGGGGGCAACUCCCCUGAGUAAAGCGGCGCACGGGUGAGUAACGCGUGGGUAACCUACCUCCAGGCGGGGGAUAACUACUCGAAAGGGUGGCUAAUACCGCAUGAGACCACGGGGUCCUCGGACCCUGAGGCCAAAGGCUGCAUCGGCUUGCCGGUGUAGUCACCAGGAGAUGGGCCCGCGUCCGAUUAGCUAGUUGGUGAGGUAAUGGCUCACCAAGGCUACGAUCGGUAGCUGGUCUGAGAGGAUGAUCAGCCACACUGGAACUGGAACACGGUCCAGACUCCUACGGGAGGCAGCAGUGAGGAAUAUUGCGCAAUGGGGGAAACCCUGACGCAGCAACGCCGCGUGGGUGAAGAAGGCCUUCGGGUCGUAAAGCCCUUUCGGACGGGACGAACGUUCCGCGGGGUCAAGCCGCGGAAUCUGACGGUACCGUAAGAAGAAGCACCGGCUAACUCCGUGCCAGCAGCCGCGGUAAUACGGAGGGUGCAAGCGUUGUUCGGAAUUACUGGGCGUAAAGCGCGUGUAGGCGGCCUAGCAAGUCAGACGUGAAAGCCCUCGGCUUAACCGGGGAAGUGCGCCUGAAACUGCUAGGCUUGAGUACGGGAGAGGGAGGCGGAAUUCCCAGUGUAGAGGUGAAAUUCGUAGAUAUUGGGAGGAACACCGGUGGCGAAAGCGGCCUCCUGGACCGAUACUGACGCUGAGACGCGAGAGCGUGGGGAGCAAACAGGAUUAGAUACCCUGGUAGUCCACGCUGUAAACGAUGGGCACUAGGUGUGGGGGGUAUCCACUCCUCCCGUGCCGAAGCUAACGCAUUAAGUGCCCCGCCUGGGGAGUACGGCCGCAAGGUUAAAACUCAAAGGAAUUGACGGGGGCCCGCACAAGCGGUGGAGCAUG